GGGUAGUUGGCUCAGUGGAAGAGCGCUCGCCUCACACGCGAGAGGUCAUAGGUUCAAUCCCUAUACUACCCACCA
rnacentral:tRNA from 2 species